UGAAUACGAGACGCUAAGGCGUCGAAGUAGUGUAUGUCAUACUUCCAAGAAAAGCUUGCACUGUCAUAGAUAAAAAACGCCUGUACCAUAACCGACACAGGUGGGUAGGUAGAGUAUACUAAGGGGCGCGAGAUAACUCUCUCUAAGGAACUCGGCAAAAUAACUCCGUAACUUCGGGAGAAGGAGUGCCUUAUUAUUAAGGUUGCAAUAACAAGAUCCAAGCAACUGUUUAUCAAAAACACAGGUCUCCGCUAAGUCGUAAGACGAUGUAUGGGGGCUGACGCCUGCCCAGUGCCAGAAGGUUAAAUAAGCUGGUUAGCAUUUGCGAAGCUAGUAACUGAAGCCCUGGUGAACGGCGGCCGUAACCAUAACGAUCCUAAGGUAGCGAAAUUCCUUGUCGGGUAAGUUCCGACCCGCACGAAAGGCGUAAUGAUUUGGGUACUGUCUCGGAGAGGGGCUCGGUGAAAUAGACUUGUCUGUGAAGAUGCGGACUACCUGCACCAGGACAGAAAGACCCUAUGAAGCUUUACUGUAACUUGAAAUUGAAAUUGGACUUUAUUCGCGCAGUAUAGGUGGGAGGCGUUGAUUAUAAUCUUGCGGGAUUAUUGGAGCCAUUAGUGAGAUACCACUCUUGUAAUGUUAGAUUUCUAACUUUGAAUCAUUAUCUGGUCAAAGAACAGUUUCAGGCGGGCAGUUUGACUGGGGCGGUCGCCUCCUAAACGGUAACGGAGGCGUACAAAGGUUUCCUCUGAACGGUUAGAAAUCGUAUCUAGAGUGUAAAGGCAUAAGGAAGCUUGACUGUGAGACCUACAAGUCGAGCAGGGACGAAAGUCGGUCUUAGUGAUCUGACGGUACUGAGUGGAAAGGCCGUCACUCAACGGAUAAAGGUUACUCUAGGAUAACAGGCUGAUCUCCCCCAAGAGUUCACAUCGACGGGGAGGUUUGGCACCUUGAUGUCGGCUCAUCGCAUCCUGGGGCGGUAGUACGUCCCAAGGGUUGGGCUGUUCGCCCAUGAAAGCGGUACGCGAGCUGGGUUCAGAACGUCGUGAGACAGUUCGGUCCAUAUCCGGUGUAGGCGUUAGAAUAUUGAGAGGAGCCUUCUUUAGUACGAGAGGACCGAGAAGGACAUACCUCUGGUGUACCAGUUAUCGUGCCAACGGUAGACGCUGGGUAGCUAUGUAUGGAGUGGAUAACCGCUGAAAGCAUCUAAGUGGGAAGCCCACCUCAAGAUAAG
rnacentral:rRNA from 1 species